AUACUUACCCGGCAGGGGAAAUACCAUGAUCAGGAAGGUGCUUUUCCCAGGGCGAGGCUUAUCCAUUGCACUCUGGAUGUGUUGACCCCUGCAAUUUCCCCAAAUGUGGGAAACUCAACUGCAUAAUUUGUGGUGGUGGGGGGGGACUGCAUUCAUGCUUUCCCCUG
ensembl:snRNA U1 U1 spliceosomal RNA